rnacentral:sRNA from 1 species
GCUGGGUACAGUGGUGCAUACCUGUAAUCCCAGCAGCUCAGGAGGCUGAGGCAGGAGGAUUGAAAGUUCAAAGCCAGCCUCAGCAAAAGUAGGGCACUAAGCAACUCAGUGAGACCCUGUCUCUC